rnacentral:tRNA from 1 species
GCCUGGUUGGCUCGGUCGGUUAAGCGUCUGAUUCUUGGUUUCGGCUCAGGUCAUGAUCUCACGGCGUGUGGGUUCGAGCCCCGCAUCGGGCU